GGGAUCACACAAGCAGUGGAGCAUGUUGUUUAAUUCGAAGCAACGCGAAGAACCUUACCAGGCCUUGACAUGUACGGAUUAGCUGUGUGAAAGCGCAGUGACGGCUCUUCGGAGUUGGAACGUACACAGGUGUUGCAUGGCUGUCGUCAGCUCGUGCCGUGAGGUGUUGGGUUAAGUCCCGUAACGAGCGAAACCCUUAUCGUUAGUUGCCAGCGGGUUAUGCCGGGGACUCUAGCGAGACUGCCGUUGUCAAAACGGAGGAAGGUGGGGACGACGUCAAGUCAUCAUGGCCCUUAUGGCCUGGGCUACAAACGUGCUACAAUGGUCCGUACAAUGGGUUCCGAAGCCGCGAGGUGUAGGCAAUCCCAUCAAAGCGGGCCCCAGUUCGGAUUGCAGGCUGAAAUUCGCCUGCAUGAAGCCGGAAUUGCUAGUAAUCGCGUAUC
rnacentral:rRNA from 1 species